GAUGAAGAACGCAGCGAAAUGCGAUAAGUAGUGUGAAUUGCAGAAUUCAGUGAAUCAUCGAAUCUUUGAACGCACAUUGCGCCCCUUGGUAUUCCAUGGGGCAUGCCUGUUCGAGCGUCAUUUGUACCUUCAAGCCUUGCUUGGUGUUGGGUGUUUGUCUCGCCUCUGCGCGCAGACUCGCCUCAAAACAAUUGGCAGCCGGCGUAUUGAUUUCGGAGCGCAGUACAUCUCGCGCUUUGCACUCAGAACGACGUCCAAAAGUACAUUUUUACACUCUUGACCUCGGAUCAGGUAGGGAUACCCGCUGAACUUAAGCAUAUCAAUAAGCGGAGGA
rnacentral:misc_RNA from 1 species